rnacentral:rRNA from 1 species
GACGAACGCUGGCGGCGUGCUUAACACAUGCAAGUCGAACGGAAAGGCCCUGCUUGCAGGGUGCUCGAGUGGCGAACGGGUGAGUAACACGUGGGUGAUCUGCCCCUUACUUUGGGAUAAGCCUGGGAAACUGGGUCUAAUACUGGAUAGGACCAUGCUGUAGGUGGUGUGGUGGAAAGAUUAGUUUCGGUAAGGGAUGAGCUCGCGGCCUAUCAGCUUGUUGGUGGGGUAAUGGCCUAACAAGGCGUCGACGGGUAGCCGGCCUGAGAGGGUGGACGGCCACAUUGGGACUGCGAUACGGCCCAGACUCCUACGGGAGGCAGCAGUGGGGAAUAUUGCACAAUGGGCGCAAGCCUGAUGCAGCGACGCCGCGUGGGGGAUGACGGCCUUCGGGUUGUAAACUCCUUUCAGCCAUGACGAAGCCCUUGUGGUGACGGUAGUGGUAGAAGAAGCACCGGCUAACUACGUG